UACGUAGGGUGCGAGCGUUGUCCGGAAUUACUGGGCGUAAAGAGCUCGUAGGUGGUUUGUCGCGUUGUUCGUGAAAACCGGGGGCUUAACCCUCGGCGUGCGGGCGAUACGGGCAGACUUGAGUACUGCAGGGGAGACUGGAAUUCCUGGUGUAGCGGUGGAAUGCGCAGGAUAUCAGGAGGAACACCGGUGGCGAAGGCGGGUCUCUGGGCAGUAACUGACGCUGAGGAGCGAAAGCGUGGGGAGCGAACAGG
rnacentral:rRNA from 1 species